UGAGACUCAAUCCACAUAUUGGAAAUUUUCAAUGGCUUUUAUGAAAACAGAUACAUGAAACUACCUUUCAUUAGAAAGAUAGAUAGAUAGAUAGAUAGAUAGAUAGAUAGAUAGAUAGAUAGAUAGAUAGAUAGAUAGAUAAUGCACUCAAUGACACUUGUAAAAAUCAAGGUUAUGUGUUAGUGUAAUCAAAAAGAAACUACCAGGUCAGGUAGUUUAAGGAGAUAUUUUUUACAACUUUUAAAAAUUAUCUGGCAAACUUAACCAUCAGCCAAACAAACAAAGCUGAUUGAGUAAUAUGCCUCCUGUAAAUUUUCAAACAUUUUAUAUUCUUAUGUAAGCCCUGUGCUCCCUAAAUUUUAUAAGUCACUUAUGCAAUAACAUUAGGUGGAUAAAGCAACUACGUAAAAAAAGAAUGCCAGUCAAGCGACAUGUACACACUCACAACAAAGUUAUUUAGAAAAGCCAAAAUAUUUUAAUAACACUUUUAAGAGCUACAAAAUAAUUUUUAAAUUGUACACAAUAUCUGUAAAUCUAUACUUUUUAAUCAAAUCAGAAUAUAGAUAAAGAGUAGAAUGUGGGUAAAAAGAUUUCUCUGGAGAUGUUAGCCUAUGAGUUAAGACAACAUUCUGUAUAAAAGCAAAAGUAACACAAAACAAAUUUACUUUUUGCUACUAAUAGAAUUUGCUGACAAAUAUGCUGAUAACAUUUUACUAAAAGUAAAUUAGAUUGAACAACCUCUGCACAAAACAAUACUGUAAAUUACUUUUGUAAAAGUUUCAAAAUAAAUUUGUAAUCUAUAAGAAAUAAAUGAUAAAUAAAUACAUGAUGUCCUUAUCAUUAGCAGAUUGUUAAAAAUAUAUUAUUUUAUAACAUGAUUAAUGACUUUCUGAUGUUUCCAAAGUUCCUCCAGAUAUAUUUACAAGUAUUAAGCGCACAUCCAAUGCUAAACUCAUGCUAGUUUGUCAAGCAGCCAAUGCAAAACCAGCUGGAAACAUUUUUUGGUCACCAUGGAAAAAUGCAUCUCAAAAGUAUACUACAAACUCCAAUGGAACCAUUACCGUGGAAAGCUGGGCCAUUAUACCAGCUAAUGAAACACUAGAAAAUGUUUUUUGCAAUGUGCAGCAUAAAGCUUGGAGUACAAUACAUUAUGGACAUUUUGAAAACCUACAUGGCGAAGACAACGGGCUUCAAGAAAUACGUUUAUGGAUGACUAUUCCUGUUAUUUUGUGCAUUGUUUUUUUAGUCUAUACUCAUUAACUAACGAUUCAGGAGAAAAUAUAUAUAGUUAUAUACUGUAUAAAUAUUCAGUCAGUCAUACAGUAACUCCAUCAUCUGGAUUUUGAAUUGUUCAGCCAAUCAUUCUUUAUUGUUAUAAUAUCCAACAUACAAUGUAUAUAUCAAUUAUACUUGUUUUUAUAUUGUCAGAUCUUGUUCCCAUGAUGCACUGUGGGAAAACGUGGCACUGCUGCAAAACAGGGGGGCUGCAUUUUGCCGGUCCUGUGUAUUCUAUAUCCCCUGGUCUUUCCGGGACAGGAUCCUGGCCAUCCCUCACAACUGUUAUUACCAUUGUUUUUGCAAUGUCUUGAUUUGAUUUUAAUAUGUAAAAUGACAUUAGGCAUGAAUCUAAUAAAUAUAUUUUUCUUGCAUCGU